GGAAAAUGGGUAAAAUUUGUCCAAAACAACCGCAGUGAAGAAACCGUUACCAUCCGAUAGAACUUGCGUCUGUUCAUUGCAUUUUCGCGAUGAGGAUAAAUAUACCACAAAAGCGGGAAGGCGUUUUCUAAAGAAGUCUGCUGUUCCUUGUAUUGAUCCGAAGGUGUGCUACAAUAGUACUGGAACAAUACAAGUAAUUUCUGAGCCGGGAACAUGUUCUGAGGAUGAUGAACUAAAUAAACACAAUUUUUACACGG